GACAGAGGGUGCAAACGUUGUUCGGAAUUACUGGGCGUAAAGCGUGUGUAGGCGGCCGCGUAAGUCGGAUGUGAAAGCCCUGGGCUCAACCCAGGAAGUGCACUCGAUACUGCGUGGCUAGAGUACUGGAGAGGUUGGUGGAAUUCUCGGUGUAGAGGUGAAAUUCGUAGAUAUCGAGAGGAACACCGGUGGCGAAGGCGGCCAACUGGACAGAUACUGACGCUGAGACACGAAAGCGUGGGGAGCAAACAGG
rnacentral:rRNA from 1 species